rnacentral:rRNA from 1 species
UACGGAGGGGGCUAGCGUUAUUCGGAAUUAUUGGGCGUAAAGGGCGCGUAGGCGGCCCGGUAAGUCAAAGGUGAAAUCCCUCGGCUCAACUGAGGAACUGCCUUUAAAACUGUCGGGCUUGAGGCCGGGAGGGGGUAGCGGAAUUCCCAGUGUAGCGGUGAAAUGCGUAGAUAUCUGGAGGAAUACCGGUGGCGAAGGCGGCAUCCUGGACCGACAGUGACGCUGAGGAGCGAAAGCUAGGGGAGCAAACGGG